GUUAUUGUAGCUUAUCGCAAAGCAUGGCACUGAAAUUGCCAAGAUGGGUCCCCUACAAACCCCAAAAACA
rnacentral:tRNA from 1 species